GACCUGGUGUUCCUCGAAGACCCAAACGACCCUAGACGCUGUAUAUACUUUCAGGCAUCCGUGCAUGUCCUGAGACACUCCACGGCCAUCUACCCAGGGUUCCAGUCCUCUGUGCAUGUCGGGAACGUGCGUCAGACGGCCAUUAUCGAGGGUAUAAUGUCUCCGAACAACGUGCUGAGGGCGGGCGAGGGGGCCUCCGUGCUGUUCAGGUUCGCCCGCUGUCCGGAGUACCUCGUGCGGGGCCGCCGGCUGCUGUUCACGGCGGGGCUGGGGACCAGAGCCAUCGGCCGGGUCACGCAAACCUUCCCGUACAUACCAUGAAUUCUAUAGAACACGGCUCCAAUGUAAAAUUCGAGAUCUCUCUAGAAUAUUCUAGAUAAAUUAAAUAUAUUAAUUGUAUCUGUAACCAGUUUUCUUGUCGUGUUCACUUCAU